GCCCAGGUGGUGUAGUUGGUUAUCACGUGAGUCUCAUAAUCUCAAGGUCGCCAGUUCGAUCCUGGCCGGGGGCA
rnacentral:tRNA from 1 species